CGGCGGACGGGUGAGUAACGCGUGGGUAACCUGCCUUAUACAGGGGGAUAACAGUUAGAAAUGACUGCUAAUACCGCAUAAGCGCACAGUACUGCAUGGUACAGUGUGAAAAACUCCGGUGGUAUAAGAUGGACCCGCGUCUGAUUAGCUUGUUGGCGGGGUAACGGCCCACCAAGGCGACGAUCAGUAGCCGGCCUGAGAGGGUGGACGGCCACAUUGGGACUGAGACACGGCCCAAACUCCUACGGAAGGCAGCAG
rnacentral:rRNA from 1 species